AAGGUAGCAUAAUCAUUUGCCUAUUAAUUGUAGGCUAGAAUCAACGGUUAGACGAGAGAAAUUCUGUCUCCUUUCAUUUAAUUCAAAAUUUUCCAGGGGGUGAAGAUACCCUCAUAAAAGAGUGGGACGAAAAGACCCUAUUGAGCUUUAGUUCUUAAUAUAGUUAAUAUCUUAAGAGUUUGGGUUGGGGCAACAUUAAUAAUAUUAAACAUUAAUUAUAACAAAUAAAUCAAAUUAUUUAUUGACCCUUUAUAUAAGGAAAAAGAAAAAAGUUACCUUAGGGAUAACAGCAUAAUUUUCUUUGAGAGUUCAUAUUGACAAGGGAGUUUGUGACCUCGAUGUUGGAUUAAGAUUUCCUGAAAGUGCAGCAGCUUUCUAAGGUUGGUUUGUUCAACCAUUAAAAUCUUACGUGAUCUGAGUUCAGACCGGA
rnacentral:rRNA from 1 species